AUGCUGGAGGUAUCAGAAGUGCGAAUGCUGACAUAAGUAACGAUAAAGCGGGUGAAAAGCCCGCUCGCCGGAAGACCAAGGGUUCCUGUCCAACGUUAAUCGGGGCAGGGUGAGUCGACCCCUAAGGCGAGGCCGAAAGGCGUAGUCGAUGGGAAACAGGUUAAUAUUCCUGUACUUGGUGUUACUGCGAAGGGGGGACGGAGAAGGCUAUGUUGGCCGGGCGACGGUUGUCCCGGUUUAAGCGUGUAGGCUGGUUUUCCAGGCAAAUCCGGAAAAUCAAGGCUGAGGCGUGAUGACGAGGCACUACGGUGCUGAAGCAACAAAUGCCCUGCUUCCAGGAAAAGCCUCUAAGCAUCAGGUAACAUCAAAUCGUACCCCAAACCGACACAGGUGGUCAGGUAGAGAAUACCAAGGCGCUUGAGAGAACUCGGGUGAAGGAACUAGGCAAAAUGGUGCCGUAACUUCGGGAGAAGGCACGCUGAUAUGUAGGUGAAGUCCCUCGCGGAUGGAGCUGAAAUCAGUCGAAGAUACCAGCUGGCUGCAACUGUUUAUUAAAAACACAGCACUGUGCAAACACGAAAGUGGACGUAUACGGUGUGACGCCUGCCCGGUGCCGGAAGGUUAAUUGAUGGGGUCAGCGCAAGCGAAGCUCUUGAUCGAAGCCCCGGUAAACGGCGGCCGUAACUAUAACGGUCCUAAGGUAGCGAAAUUCCUUGUCGGGUAAGUUCCGACCUGCACGAAUGGCGUAAUGAUGGCCAGGCUGUCUCCACCCGAGACUCAGUGAAAUUGAACUCGCUGUGAAGAUGCAGUGUACCCGCGGCAAGACGGAAAGACCCCGUGAACCUUUACUAUAGCUUGACACUGAACAUUGAGCCUUGAUGUGUAGGAUAGGUGGGAGGCUUUGAAGUGUGGACGCCAGUCUGCAUGGAGCCGACCUUGAAAUACCACCCUUUAAUGUUUGAUGUUCUAACGUGGACCCGUGAUCCGGGUUGCGGACAGUGUCUGGUGGGUAGUUUGACUGGGGCGGUCUCCUCCUAAAGAGUAACGGAGGAGCACGAAGGUUGGCUAAUCCUGGUCGGACAUCAGGAGGUUAGUGCAAUGGCAUAAGCCAGCUUGACUGCGAGCGUGACGGCGCGAGCAGGUGCGAAAGCAGGUCAUAGUGAUCCGGUGGUUCUGAAUGGAAGGGCCAUCGCUCAACGGAUAAAAGGUACUCCGGGGAUAACAGGCUGAUACCGCCCAAGAGUUCAUAUCGACGGCGGUGUUUGGCACCUCGAUGUCGGCUCAUCACAUCCUGGGGCUGAAGUAGGUCCCAAGGGUAUGGCUGUUCGCCAUUUAAAGUGGUACGCGAGCUGGGUUUAGAACGUCGUGAGACAGUUCGGUCCCUAUCUGCCGUGGGCGCUGGAGAACUGAGGGGGGCUGCUCCUAGUACGAGAGGACCGGAGUGGACGCAUCACUGGUGUUCGGGUUGUCAUGCCAAUGGCACUGCCCGGUAGCUAAAUGCGGAAGAGAUAAGUGCUGAAAGCAUCUAAGCACGAAACUUGCCCCGAGAUGAGUUCUCCCUGACUCCUUGAGAGUCCUGAAGGAACGUUGAAGACGACGACGUUGAUAGGCCGGGUGUGUAAGCGCAGCGAUGCGUUGAGCUAACCGGUACUAAUGAACCGUGAGGCUUAACCUU
rnacentral:rRNA from 1 species